rnacentral:rRNA from 1 species
CCUACGGGAGGCAGCAGUGAGGAAUAUUGGUCAAUGGACGAGAGUCUGAACCAGCCAAGUAGCGUGAAGGAUGACUGCCCUAUGGGUUGUAAACUUCUUUUAUAUGGGAAUAAAAUGUUCCACGUGUGGGAUUUUGUAUGUACCAUAUGAAUAAGGAUCGGCUAACUCCGUGCCAGCAGCCGCGGUAAUACGGAGGAUCCGAGCGUUAUCCGGAUUUCUUGGGUUUAAAGGGAGCGUAGGUGGAUUGUUAAGUAAGUUGUGAAAGUUUGCGGCUCAACCGUAAAAUUGCAGUUGAAACUGGCAGUCUUGAGUACAGUAGAGGUGGGCGGAAUUCGUGGUGUAGCGGUGAAAUGCUUAGAUAUCACGAAGAACUCCGAUUGCGAAGGCAGCUCACUGGACUGCAACUGACACUGAGGCUCGAAAGUGUGGGUAUCAAACAGGAUUAGAUACCCGGGUAGUC